AUUCAGCUGAUGAGCCCCAAAUAAAACGAAAUGCGCGUUCUGGAU
rnacentral:hammerhead_ribozyme from 1 species